GUAGGGAAUAUUGGGCAAUGGUCGGAAGACUGACCCAGCCAUGCCGCGUGCAGGAAGACGGCCCUCUGGGUUGUAAACUGCUUUUAUCUGGGAAGAAAAAGGCCAUGCGUGGCAAAUUGCCGGUACCAGAUGAGUAAGCACCGGCUAACUCCGUGCCAGCAGCCGCGGUAAUACGGAGGGUGCGAGCGUUGUCCGGAUUUAUUGGGUUUAAAGGGUGCGUAGGCGGCUGAUUAAGUCAGCGGUGAAAGACUUCGGCUUAACCGGAGCAGUGCCGUUGAUACUGGUUGGCUUGAGUGUCGGAGGGGUACAUGGAAUUGAUGGUGUAGCGGUGAAAUGCAUAGAUACCAUCAGGAACACCGAUAGCGAAGGCAUUGUACUGGCCGACAACUGACGCUGAUGCACGAAAGUGUGGGGAUCGAACAGGAUUAGAAACCCGGGUAGUCC
rnacentral:rRNA from 1 species